rnacentral:rRNA from 1 species
UACAGAGACUGCAAGCGUUUAUUCGGAUUCACUGGGCGUAAAGGGUGCGCAGGCGGCCAAGUGUGUCAGGUGUGAAAUCCCGAGGCUUAACCUCGGAACUGCGCCUGAAACUACUUGGCUAGAGUACUGGAGAGGGUAACGGAAUUCACGGUGUAGCAGUGAAAUGCGUAGAUAUCGUGAGGAACACCAGAGGCGAAGGCGGUUACCUGGACAGUUACUGACGCUCAGGCACGAAAGCGUGGGGAGCAAAAGGG